ACUAUUCUAGAUAAACAGCCACUGAGGCACAACACAGCAGUUCAGCUGUGCCUCCAGCACUGGGGCAAAGAGCAAGUGGCUAUUUCUAUACUUAGUGUUCAAAAAUGAGUGAGCAGUAAGAAUGGUUUGGAGCCUGACAUUU
ensembl:snoRNA